GAUGAACGCUGGCGGCGUGCUUAACACAUGCAAGUCGAACGGAAAGGCCCAAGCUUGCUUGGGUACUCGAGUGGCGAACGGGUGAGUAACACGUGGGUGAUCUGCCCUGCACUUCGGGAUAAGCCUGGGAAACUGGGUCUAAUACCGGAUAGGACGAUGGUUUGGAUGCCAUUGUGGAAAGUUUUUUCGGUGUGGGAUGAGCUCGCGGCCUAUCAGCUUGUUGGUGGGGUAAUGGCCUACCAAGGCGUCGACGGGUAGCCGGCCUGAGAGGGUGUACGGCCACAUUGGAACUGAGAUACGGCCCAGACUCCUACGGGAGGGAGCAGUGGGGAAUAUUGCACAAUGGGCGCAAGCCUGAGGCAGCGACGCCGCGUGGGGGAUGACGGCCUUCGGGUUGUAAACUCCUUUCGCUAGGGACGAAGCGUUUUUGUGACGGUACCUGGAGAAGAAGCACCGGCUAACUACGUG
rnacentral:rRNA from 1 species